GCCGGGCAUGGUGGUGCAUGCCUGUAAUCCCAGCUACUCGGGAGGCUGAGGCAAGAAAAUCGCUUGAACCUGGGAGGCGGAGGUUGCAGUGAGCUGGGAUCAUGCCACUGCACUCCAACCUGGGCAACAAGAGCAAAACUCCAUCUCAAAGAAAAAAAAAAAAAUUUAAACAAUGGAGCAACUGUUCAGUUGGUGAAGGAAGUCAACUCCUUUUUUUGAGAUAGCGUCUCACUGUUGCCCAGGUUGGAGUGCAGUAGCAUGAACACAGCUCACUGCAGCCUCAACCUCUUG
rnacentral:lncRNA from 10 species